AAGCCAGAAUAUGAUUACCAUUUAUUAUCGGCAAUUUUUGUAUGAAGUCUAGAAUAGACAAGUAUUUAAAGUCUGCUGUCUUUGAGUUCAGUCUUGGGUUGCCAUGUGGACAUAUUACAGAAAUGGAGUUACAGAAAACGUACCGUUUGCACCACCGUCACUCAAAGAGAUCCACUCAGAUUUCGUCUAUUAAUGAGAAAGAGGCGGAAGUGUUUAGCUCAAAUAAAUCUCAAACAAUUUUGUUCAAGGUUUCGUCAAACACUCCUGUGCUUCUGCAGAGCCAUGUGAUACUGGAUGAGAAAGAGAAGGACGUGGGGGAGGGCAAAAAUAAGCAAGAGAGCCAAAUAAAUGUUCGGAAUGCAUCUACAUGUACAGAUGAGGCCCCGCAUGGCCAGGCCUCUUUGUCUGAAGCAUCAUUUUGGUCCGCUAAUAUUGAGGACAAGCAAAGAUUUUAUGAGAGAGAUCCAAAGCUAAAAUGCCAUUCGUCUCCAAAUGUUGAAUGAUGGGAACGUAUAAUCAUUACAUGUUAAACAAAGAAGAUUCAUGAUCUAUCUGUGCGGUGGGUAUAAAGGUGAGGCUCGCAUAGAGCAAGUGUAUAGUCUGUUUAACAUGCAUAUGCAAAACAUACAGUAUGUUGUGUGUGCUUGCAAAUAUUUCCACUGAGCGUAGUGCAUUGAUGGAGAGUGUGUAUCCUCGGCUGUAUGUACACUGCAAGAAGAGAAGGUAUGAUUUCAGGAUGAUAGACCUGCGUGCAGGAGUGGGAGAUCCUGUUUCACUCAGACCAUCAUGAUUUGGCAGAGCUGCACGUGGAGAGCCUAAAACGGUGUCAAGAGACUGAAGGGCCAAACUUUUUUGUGUUUGUUGGACAGAAGCAUGAGAUACAGUCAAUGCCGAAUUCAAUCCCGCAAGAAGAUUUUGAAGCACUUCUUAAAUCUGUAGAGAGAAACAAAAAUAAAGUGUCUAGGAGACAGUCGGACAUUGCUGUUAAAUCACAGUCCAGUUUUGCCACCAGUAACAGUGGGAGUAUGAUCCUGGAGCAUGUGGCAGAUGACAAGGAGCUUUCACACAUUUCUGCAGUAGUAAGUGAUAACGUGGGUUCCAGUAGCUCCAUUUCAGAUGGAAAUGACACACAUCUGGCCAGGAGCUGGAUGGAUUUGACUCUUCUGCAGACAUGGUACAAGCUGGAUACAAACACACUUCCCGCUGUGUAUCGCUUACUUCCUGUCAGAUUUCCUUAUAAUGUCAUGAAACUCAGGGGGAGACAUGGCAUGGGAACCCAAUUGCAGGCAGACACAGACGGUAGAUGUAACAAGGAUUUAUUAUACAAAUAAACACUAAACAAACGGCAAAACAAACGCCCACGAUGGGGUAAAACAGAACAAGAUAACAAUAAUAACAAAAGGUACACAGGAACUAGACUAACUACACUUAAACUAACAAAGACUUAAAUACAAUACUUAACAGAACUACAAUGAACUAACACUCAACUACACUUACUUUGACACGGAGUAACAAGAGCUUUCAGGAACAGCAACAUCAACAGGUACAGCGACAGGAACAUGUACAGGUAAAGAACAGCUACGAAACAACAGCAAGGGACUUCUAACAGGUACAAGAACAGUACAGGCAAGACGUACAGAAACAAUGCACGAGCACAGGACAAUGAAACAUGAUGACUCUUUAUAGGGAACAAACACAGGAUCAGUGUUGGGUGUAACUAGUUACUAAGUAAUUAGUUACUGUAAUUUAAUUACUUUUCUCUUGAAAAGUAAAGUAAGGGAUUACUCAUAUGUUUUCUGUAAUUUAAAUACAGUUACUUUUGAUGUAAUUAAACUAAAUACUUUGUUAAAUAUAUACGUGUGCAAUAGCGUAAUUGACUUCAAAAUUCAAAGUCUAACUUUAAAAUCUGUGCUUUAAUGUAUAAUUCUCACAUUUGUAGUACUUUUGUCAGUUAAUAAUAUUAUUUGAAUGAAUUCAAUAAGCUGUUUCAUGAUAUAUUCUUGAAUCAAUUAACUAAUCAAGGUCGAUGUAGGAUAUAGAAAGUAAUUAGUAAUGAGUAACUAAAUACUUUUUGGACAGACUAAUUUGGACAGUAAUCUAAUUACACUAUUGAAUAUGUAAUGAGUAACUAGUAAUUAAUUACUUUUUCAGAGUAAUUUACCCAACACUGCACAGGAUCAUAACGAGCAACAGGUGCUGGGGAUUAGCACUAAGGAGAGGCUGACAAGGGACGAGAUGUGGGGAACAAUGACGAGACACGAGAAAUAAUCAUUCAAUCUCACAUUAAACCAUAGGUUAUGCCAUGACUCCACUCAAAUAACACAAAUAAACAUGACAUGAUAGGGGAAUCAUGACAUAUAAGAGACAAAAUGAAAUCCUUCACAAUGAGUUCUUCAGCACAGCAUCUUUCCAAUACCUGCGCUCUAUAUUGGGUUGCAGACAGGACUAAAUUUCCCAGGUCACCAUUGCAGACAUCACUCAAGUACGAGACUUGAAACUUUAUAUAUUUUCUAAAUACGGUUCCACAGACUUCACUGACACCCCUACAUACCGGGUACCUCUUGAUACACAGACUGAAGAUACUUAAAGUAUUAUGUAAAUCCAUACUUCAUAUCUAAAUUAACAGUGGAAUAUAAAGGUUUCAUAUUAUUCUUCUGCUUUUGAAUUUUUACAUUAAACACAUUCCCCUUUAUGCUUUAAAACAUCAUGCACUCAAGCUGACACAAGUCUUUGCAAAACCAGAUGAUCCAUUUUAAACCUGAUGUGCAAUUCGAUAAACUGACCACAUACCCAGGUUGUUUCCCUACCUUUGCCUGAGAUAGGGGAUAGGCUAUGAUUAAUGUAUAUU